rnacentral:rRNA from 1 species
CGCGGCCUACGGGGCGCAGCAGUAGGGAAUUUUCGUCAAUGGGCGCAAGCCUGAACGAGCAAUGCCGCGUGAACGAGGAAGGUCUUCGGAUCGUAAAGUUCUGUUGAAGGGGAAAAAGAGCGGAGAGAGGAAAUGAACUCCGAUUGAUAUUACCCUUCGAGGAAGUCACGGCUAACUACGUGCCAGCAGCCGCGGUAAUACGUAGGUGGCGAGCGUUAUCCGGAAUGAUUGGGCGUAAAGGGUGCGUAGGCGGCCUGCUAAGUCUGGAGUGCAAGGUACCGGCUCAACCGGUCCAGGCUCUGGAA